CCUACGGGGGGCAGCAGUGGGGAAUAUUGCACGAUGGGGGAAACCCUGAUGCAGCGACGCCGCGUGAGUGAAGAAGUAUUUCGGUACGUAAAGCUCUAUCAGCAGGGAAGAAAAUGACGGUACCUGACUAAGAAGCCCCGGCUAACUACGUGCCAGCAGCCGCGGUAAUACGUAGGGGGCAAGCGUUAUCCGGAUUUACUGGGUGUAAAGGGAGCGUAGACGGCAGCGCAAGUCUGGAGUGAAAUCCCAUGGCUUAACCAUGAAACUGCUUUGGAAACUGUGCAGCUAGAGUGCAGGAGAGGUAA
rnacentral:rRNA from 1 species